AAAAAAUUUAUAAAAUCUUUCUGGUUGGAAAGACUUGAGAAAUCAUUUUCACUUCACUAUACUGGAAAAGAGAACUUGUUUGUGUAGGUUUUCAGUGUUUUAUCUUAAACCUGUCGUUGCCAGGUCUUAUAUCACUGGAAUUUCAGAAGCUCCUUCGGUCUUCUGUAAUAUCAUCGGCCUAGUUAUAUAUCUAGGACUCCGUACAGAAGUAGUUGUCAAGGGCUCUGAUUACCAAGUCCG
rnacentral:misc_RNA from 1 species